UUCCAGACUCCUACGGGAGGCAGCAGUGAGGAAUAUUGGUCAAUGGGCGCUAGCCUGAACCAGCCAAGUAGCGUGAAGGAUGACUGCCCUAUGGGUUGUAAACUUCUUUUAUAUGGGAAUAAAGUGCAGUAUGUAUACUGCUUUGCAUGUACCUUAUGAAUAAGGAUCGGCUAACUCCGUGCCAGCAGCCGCGGUAAUACGGAGGAUCCGAGCGUUAUCCGGAUUUAUUGGGUUUAAAGGGAGCGUAGGCGGGUUGUUAAGUCAGUUGUGAAAGUUUGCGGCUCAACCGUAAAAUUGCAGUUGAUACUGGCAUCCUUGAGUACAGUAGAGGUAGGCGGAAUUCGUGGUGUAGCGGUGAAAUGCUUAGAUAUCACGCAGAACUCCGAUUGCGAAGGCAGCGUACCGGCGCCCAACUGACGCUGAAGCACGAAGGCGUGGGUAUCGAACAGGAUUAGAUACCCCAGUAGC
rnacentral:rRNA from 1 species